CGAAAACUAAUGCGCAUUCGGCAU
rnacentral:siRNA from 1 species